CAUGGCCUGGGCCUUGUUUCUCCUCACACUUCUCAGUUACUGGUCAGGUUCUUUUGGCCAGUAUGUGCUGACUCAACCACCAUCUGUGUCUGUGAUGCCAGAACAAAAUGCCCAGAUCAUUUGUUCAGGGAACAACAUUGGGGGCAAGCAUGUGCAGUGGUACCAGCAGAAACCAGGCAUGCCCCCAGUACUCAUUAUAUAUUUGGAUGACCAAAGACCCUCAGGGAUUUCAGACCGCUUCUCUGGCUCCAACUCUGGCAACACAGCCAUGUUAAGCAUCGCCAGGGCCAAGGCAGAGGACGAGGCUGAUUAUUACUGCCAGGUGUGGGACAGCAGUGCUGCUCACAAUGAUACAGACAGAGGGGGAAGUGAGACAAAAACCUCCAGCUGCAAGAGGCCAAUUGCUCCCAUGCUGUAG